UUUUUUUUUGGGGGGGGGCAGGGGGUGCCUGAGGCAUGUGGAAGUUCCAGGGCCAGGGAUGAUCCCCAGUCACAGCUGUAACCUGAGCCACAGCAGUGACAAUUCCAAGUCCUUAAUCACUAGGCAACCAGGGAACUCCACAAUAGAAAUUAUUUUCUCACAGUUCUAGAGGCAGCAAGACCAAGAUCAAGGUGUCUGGUUUGGUUUCUCCUAAGCCCUCUUGCUUUGACAUGCAGAUAACUUUUUUUUUUUUUUUUUUUUUUUUUUGUCUUUUUAGGGCUGCACCCACAGUAUAUGGAAGUUGCCAGGCUAGGGGUUGAACUGGAGCUGCAGCUGCCGGCCUAUACCACAGCCACAGCAAUGUGGGAUCCGAGCUCCGUGUCUGCAACCUAUACCACAGCUUACAGCAAUGCCGGAUCCUUAACGCACUGAGCAAGGCGAGGGAUCAAACUCGCAUCCUCACAAGUACUAUUCAGAUUUGUUUCCCCUGAGCCACGAUGAGAACUCCUAUAAAUAAGUUCUUUUGUAUCAUUUUUAUUAGAUUCCACAUAUAUGAUAUUUAUCUUUCUCUGACUUACUUAGUAUGAUAAUCUGUAGGUCCAACCAUGUUACUGCUCUUAUUGUUGAGUUGUAAGAGUUCUUUACAUAUUCCAAGUACAACCUUUUUUUUUUUGGCUAUGCUGUGUAUUGGCUUAAUGUGGGAUCCUGGGGGCCUCAGCUCAGCAGUGAAAGCACCAAGUCCUAAAGUGCCUAGACCACCAGGUUAUUAUGCUUUAAUAACCAAUUAAAGCAUAUAACUCUUUAAUUGGUUAUAUGCUUUGCAAAUAUUUUUCUCCCAGUCUUUUUUUUUUUUGGUUUUUUUGUCUUUUUAAGGCCGAACCAGCAGCAUAUGGAGGUUCCCAGGCUAGGGGUUGAAUCAGAGCCGUAGCUACCGGCCUACACCAUAGCCACGCCAACCCAGGAUCUGAGCCACAUCUGCAACAUACACCACAGCUCAUGGCAAUGCCAGAUCUUUAACCCACUGAACCAGGCCAGGGAUCAAACCCACAACCUCAUGGUUCCCAGUCAGAUUCAUUAACCACUGAGCCACGACGGGAACUCCCAGGCUGUCACUUUUCAUUCUCCUAAUAAUGUCUUUCAUAGAGCAGAAAUUUUUCAUUUUCCUUAAGUCUUGUUUAUCAGAUUUUCUUUCCCUUUUUUUUUUUUUUUUUUU
rnacentral:lncRNA from 1 species